AAGUCGUAACAAGGUUUCCGUAGGUGAACCUGCGGAAGGAUCAUUAACGAAUUUGAAAGGGGUUGUUGCUGGCCCUCCGGGGCAUGUGCACGCCUCGAUCUCAUCCAUCUUACACCUGUGCACCUCUGCGUGGGUCUGUUGGCCUCCUGGCCUUCGGACCUGCGUCCUUUUCACAAACCCUUGUAUGUAAUCAGAAUGUCGCAAUGCUAUAAACGCAUCUUAUACAACUUUCAACAACGGAUCUCUUGGCUCUC
rnacentral:misc_RNA from 1 species